rnacentral:lncRNA from 1 species
CCAUAAAAGAACACAUUUAGAAAUGUCUUAGGCUAGUCUCAAUGCAUGUUUCAUAAAAGUAUUAUGCACAUUAAAUAGGGUGUCACAUAAGCAAAAUUUUGGCAGAGUCAUUAAAUAAAGGAGUUUCAUCAUAUGAGAGAAGAGUUUCAUCCCCAUGAAACUCAUGUGGCUCGGUUACCUAGUUUAUAGUCUUGGUAACUGUAUUAUGAAACUAUGCAUUGAGACUGCCCUUGUGUCAAACUAUAAUAAGUUUCACCAAACUAUGUAGCAAGAUAUCAAAUACUACGAUGCAUGUAGGUGUAAUGAUAGAACGUAUUUUUAGAAUUAACUCAAACGGAGAAAAUGAAUGUUAUAGUUUCCUAUUACAACAAAGGACUACACCCUCUUAAGGAAACUAUGUCGAUUAGGACAAAAUUUGAUCAAACCUAAAAGUAUAAAAAAUCAAUCACUUUUGGAUUAUCUAGUUUGGAAAUAACACACGUAAGAUUUGUAAUCUCUCAGAGAAAGCUUGCAAGUAUCAGCCGAAUCUGUCAGUCAUUUAAUAAUAUUUUUCUCAUAAAAUCAGCCAUGACUUAUCAGUUUCCAUAGAGAAGUUAUGCAAGAAAAAGAAGACACGUGUACCCAUAUACAACUAAUCUUCAACACGCGUCCUUGUGCAAAAAUUUAUGAUUUAUUUAUUGAAAUCCAUAGACCACUGGGAACUAAUUCAGAAAUAAACAAUACUUUAACUUCUCUAAAUAUAAUGAUCUUACUCAUGUGUACCGUAUAAACAUAAUGUAUACAUAGCAAAAAAAACAUCUUAAAAUUUAGAAACAAAAAAAAAUCAAAAUAUAAUGAAUUUACACAACUUCCACACUAGUGUACAUCCAUCAAACGUCCAUCACGUCAGGUCAGGAUAGCAGCACAAGCUACAACUCUACUCCCUCCGUCUCACGCCUUGUUUAGUUCGAAAAAAAAUUUGUUUUCGGUACUGUAGCAUUUCGUUUUUAUUUGACAAAUAUUGUCCAAUCACGAAGUAAGUAGGCUCAAAAGAUUCAACUCACAAAUUACAGAUAAACUGUGGAGUUAGUUUUUAUUUUUAUCUAUAUUUAAUGCUCCAUGCGUACGACCAAAGAUUCGAUGUGACGGGAAAUCUUGAAAAUUUUUGCGAACUAAACAAGGCCUGAAAGUGAUGUUUUGAACUUUGUAUCAUUUUAUUUGACUAUUUGUCUUUUUCAAAAAAUAUAUAAAUAUUAAUUAUUUUAACAAUAAUUUAUUUAUUUUAUAAUUUAUAAAAAAAUGAAAUAAAACGAAUGAUCAAAUAUAAUACCUAAAAGUUAAAAACGAUAUUUUUAAUAAAAUGAAGGGAGUACUAAUGUGACUCGGAGCCGGAACUAAAGCGUGAGACGAAUGUAGACUAUAGAAUUGCAUUCAUAUGCGGACAGGUGGAGUACCAUUUCCACACUGCAAAGAGACAAAUUUCAGGAUAUUAUGGUAAAAAACGUAGAAAAAAAGACAUACCAGACAAAAGGUCGUGCAAAGGUGUAGAGAGAAUUCCUUGUGCGUCUUAAAAUGAAACGGCGAGUCUAUUGCUUGAGCUUGUCUGUCAAAUUUAUUAGAUAUUUAGUGUUUUUCUCUUAUAAUAAAUCAGCGUAAUUAUAAUUUUCUUGCCAAACGAACACUCACUUUUAAAAUUUUCUGCCCCUGAUGCCACUUUCCCUUAAGUGGCCUGGCUGUUAAGUUCCUUGAUGGAAAAAUGGCCUGAGCGGGUACUCUUCAAGUUUUACGCCGUAUCAACAAUAUAAUAGCAGGAUAAGUUACUCAAAGACAACACCAGUUAAAUCCUAGUUGCAACAGAGAAAGGGAUGUGGACACUCGGCCUUGUUUAGUUCCCUUAAAAUUUAGCAAAUUUUUUUAGAUUUUUCAUCACAUCGAAUCUUUAGACGUAUGCAUGAAGCAUUAAAUAUAGAUGG